GACGAACGCUGGCGGCGUGCCUAAUACAUGCAAGUCGAACGCAGUGGGGACGGGUGAGUAACACGUGGGUAACCUCCCAUCAGAGGGGAUAACACUUGGAAACAGGUGCUAAACCGAUACUGAUGGAUGGACCCGCGGUGCAUUAGCUAGUUGGUGGGGUCACGGCUCACCAAGGCCACGAUGCAUAGGCAGCCUGAGAGGGGGAUGGGCCACACGUGGACUGAGAACAGGCCCAGAACCCGAAGGGAGGGAGCAGGAGGGAAUUGUCGGGAAUGGAAUAAAGUCUGAACGAGACACGCCGCGUGAGGUAAGAAGGUUUUCGGAUCGUAAAACCCUGUUGGUAGAGAAGCGGUUUCUAACCAGAAAGCCACGGGUAACCACGGGCCAGCAGGCGCGGUAAUAC
rnacentral:rRNA from 1 species